rnacentral:rRNA from 1 species
AGAUGGCGACCGGCGCACGGGUGAGUAACACGUAUCCAACCUGCCGAUAACUCGGGGAUAGCCUUUCGAAAGAAAGAUUAAUACCCGAUGGUAUAAUCAGACCGCAUGGUUUGUAUUUAUUAAAGAAUUUCGGUUAUCGAUGGGGAUGCGUUCCAUUAGGCAGUUGGUGAGGUAACGGCUCACCAAACCUUCGAUGGAUAGGGGUUCUGAGAGGAAGGUCCCCCACAUUGGAACUGAGACACGGUCCAA